AGGAUUUGCCUGAGUGUAACGCCACUGCAGACACCCUGGCAAAAAUAGCUGCUGCAGCCACCACCUCUGAAGACGACUAUUCCCUUGCCCAAUGGAUACACCAUAAAGCAGGACAUUUAGGAACACAAGUUAUGCACACGGCUUCUCCUUGGACGGUAGAUGAUAUGAAUGAUCAAAGCCUGGACACCUGGAACUCUUCUUGCCAGCCUGACGCCACCACACCUGUGGCUCUUUUGGACUAACAUCAGCCAUUCUCAACGGAUCAGCACCAACCAGACAUGACAACAAGAUAACGUCACUUGUUCAGCCCAACAUUGUAAUGUGUUCAAAUAAAAUAUUCUGACUUUUA